GUAACACAUCGGAACGCGUCCUGUAAUGGGGGAUAACCUGGCGAGAGCCAGGCUAAUACCGCAUACGUCCUGAGGGAGAAAGCGGGGGAUUGGCAACGACCUCGCGUUAUAGGAGUGGCCGAUGUCGGAUUAGCUAGUUGGUGGGUAAAGGCCUACCAAGGCGACGAUCCGUAGCUGGUACUGAGAGGACGACCAGCCACACUGGGACUGAGACACGGCCCAGACUCCUACGGGAGGCAGCAGUGGGGAAUUUUGGACAAUGGGGCAACCCUGAUCCAGCCAUGCCGCGUGAGUGAAGAAGGCCUUCGGGUUGUAAAGCUCUUUCGGCCGGGAAGAAAUCGCAUGGGUUAAUACCCUGUGUGGAUGACGGUACCGGCAUAAGAAGCACCGGCUAACUACGUG
rnacentral:rRNA from 1 species